CGUAAAUAUUCUUUUUUUUUCUCAGUGUACCCAUAUACCUAAACAUAGACACUGAUACAGAUGACUGGGGCCUUUGAGGGCGCCGUGUUUCAACAGACUCAUUAAAUGCUUUCAAUUUCCAAAAGCAAAAUUAAAUUUAAAGACUUUCAUGAAACGCGCGCGAAUUAAUGAGGCGAUUACUUCAAGCGCAUAAAAGUGAAAAAACAACGACAACAACAACGAAAAGGAAAAGCAAAAAAACAAAAUGAAAUAAAGGAAGCGAAAGAAAAACCCCAAGACGUGAUGUGGUUCUGGAGCAGCAAUCGCUUGCUUCGGCUUCGAGUGGGAUACAUAUUUGUUUUCGCCUUGCCUCCGUCAGCGGAUGAGAGAUUUACAGACAGACGUCGCUGUUGCUUCCAUGACGAUGAUGAUGAUUGUGAUGAUGAUG